rnacentral:misc_RNA from 1 species
GGAAGCUCUAAGAAGGAAUAGUUGAACUUUCCAAGUACUGAAACAGGUGUCUCGACAAGAUUUACAACCUCAUCAAGCAAGACCUCAUGAAUAACAGGUUUCCCUUUGACGCUUUGUGCCAAUAUGGAAGACUGGUCCAAGAUUUUUCUUUUACGGUCCUCAACUUCAAGAUCAAUUUUAGCAUCCUUCAUUGCCCCCAUAAAUGAUUCUGCACUAU